rnacentral:other from 1 species
UAAAUCCUGGGAUGCUCGAUCCCCCUUUCUUAUUUUGAUCCUACAUUGACAUAAUGGGACUCCUACAUUGCAGAUUGGAUGUCAGGCCUCUUGUCGUGGAAGGCAGAAGAUCUGCUGCGGACACCCACCUAGCUUUAGCUAGGCGUCAAAAUAAAGGGAACGGUAUCUCGGGAUUAUU